rnacentral:rRNA from 1 species
AUUCCUACGGGAGGCAGCAGUGAGGAAUCUUCCACAAUGGGCGAAAGCCUGAUGGAGCAACGCCGCGUGCAGGAUGAAGGCCCUAGGGUCGUAAACUGCUUUUAUAAGUGAAGAAUAUGACGGUAACUUAUGAAUAAGCACCGGCUAACUACGUGCCAGCAGCCGCGGUCAUACGUAGGGUGCAAGCAUUAUCCGGAGUGACUGGGCGUAAAGAGUUGCGUAGGUGGUUUGUUAAGUGAAUAGUGAAAUCUGGUGGCUCAACCACACAGACUAUUAUUCAAACUGGCAAACUCGAGAGUAGCAGAGGUAACUGGAAUUUCUAGUGUAGGAGUGAAAUCCGUAGAUAUUAGAAGGAACACCAAUGGCGUAGGCAGGUUACUAGGCUAUUUCUGACACUGAGGCACGAAAGCGUGGGGAGCGAACCGGAUUAGAUACCCGGGUAGUCCACGCCGUAAACUAUGGAUACUAGCUGUUGGAGGUAUCGACCCCUUCAGUAGCGAAGCUAACGCGUUAAGUAUCCCGCCUGUGGAGUACGGUCGCAAGACUAAAACAUAAAGGAAUUGACGGGGACCCGCACAAGCGGUGGAGCGUGUUCUUUAAUUCGACGCUAAACGAAGAACCUUACCAGGGUUUGACAUCCUUGGAAUUUCUGUGAAAGUAGAAAGUGCCUUUUGGAACCAAGUGACAGGUGAUGCAUGGCCGUCGUCAGCUCGUGUCGUGAGAUGUUUGGUUAAGUCCAUCAACGAGCGCAACCCUUGUGAAUAGUUGUAUUUUUCUAUUCAAACUGCCUCGGUAACGGGGAGGAAGGAGGGGAUGACGUCUGGUCAGUAUUUCCCUUACACCCUGGGCUAGAAACGCGCUACAAUGGCUGGUACAAUGCGCAGCGAAGUCGCGAGAUGGAGCAAAUCGCAUCAAAACCAGUCCCAGUUCGGAUUGUAGGCUGAAACUCGCCUGCAUGAAGUUGGAAUCGCUAGUAAUCGCAGAUCAGCAUGCUGCGGUGAAUACGUUCCCGGGCCUUGUACACACCGCC